GAGUUUGAUCGUGGCUCAGAUUGAACGCUGGCGGCAUGCCUUACACAUGCAAGUCGAACGGUAACAGGUCUUCGGAUGCUGACGAGUGGCGAACGGGUGAGUAAUACAUCGGAACGUGCCCGAUCGUGGGGGGAUAACGAAGCGAAAGCUUUGCUAAUACCGCAUAAGAUCUACGGAUGAAAGCAGGGGACCGCAAGGCCUUGCGCGAACGGAGCGGCCGAUGGCAGAUUAGGUAGUUGGUGGGAUAAAAGCUUACCAAGCCGACGAUCUGUAGCUGGUCUGAGAGGACGACCAGCCACACUGGGACUGAGACACGGCCCAGACUCCUACGGGAGGCAGCAGUGGGGAAUUUUGGACAAUGGGCGAAAGCCUGAUCCAGCCAUGCCGCGUGCAGGAUGAAGGCC
rnacentral:rRNA from 1 species